AACAGGAGACAUCCCAACAGUAAUUCAGCAAGACCAAGCAAGUUCUCUUCUCUCCGACAGUCCACAGCAGAAGUGUGAGGUAAACCCGCCAAUUAGUAUGGUAAAGCAGGAGCAACAGGAAGUAGAUGUUUGGAUUGGUCAAGACAACAGUGAAGCACGAACCCAAUGUGGUGAAGCUGUGAGCCUGUCACCCAUCAAGGAUGCUCUGAAAACUGUUCCUUGUGUUGACAGAGGAAAUAGAGAAAACACAACCGAAAGAGUCCCAUCUAAAGCAGAACCACCAAAAAUCUCACCUGGAACAAUCACAGUGAACCAGACUGUGGCAAACGGUGAUCCAAACACUUCUUUCAGUCACACACAGAGUUUGAGUGCAUCACACUCCGCAAGAACAUCCAGUGCCAACACUAUUUCAGGGGAUAAGCGUUUUGUUUGCUCCUACUGUUCGAAGAGGUUCAGGUGUUUUAGUCAACUUACAAUACAUCAGCGGAGUCACACAGGUGAGAAGCCAUACAGGUGCACGCUUUGUGGAAAGAGCUACAUUCAGAAAGGACACCUGUACACCCAUCAGCGCACCCAUACUGGAGAGAAGCCAUAUCG